AGGGUUCGAUUCUGGCUCAGGACGAACGCUGGCGGCGUGCCUAACACAUGCAAGUCGAGCGAUGAAGUUCUUCGGAACGGAUUAGCGGCGGACGGGUGAGUAACACGUGGGUAACCUGCCUUGUAGAGGGGGAUAGCCUUCCGAAAGGAAGAUUAAUACCGCAUAACAUCUUUUUAUCGCAUGGUAGAAAGAUCAAAGGAGCAAUCCGCUACAAGAUGGACCCGCGGCGCAUUAGCUAGUUGGUGAGGUAACGGCUCACCAAGGCGACGAUGCGUAGCCGACCUGAGAGGGUGAUCGGCCACAUUGGAACUGAGACACGGUCCAGACUCCUACGGGAGGCAGCAGUGGGGAAUAUUGCGCAAUGGGGGGAAAAACCCCCUGACGCAGCAACGCCGCGUGAAUGAAGAAGGCCUUAGGGUUGUAAAGUUCUGUUUACGGGGACGAUAAUGACGGUACCCGUGGAGGAAGCCACGGCUAACUACGUGCCAGCCGCAGC
rnacentral:rRNA from 1 species